UUCAAGGAAGAAGGCCACUCGUGUCAUUAAGGGAUGUGCUCAGUUAAUUUCUCUCUGGACUUAAAGGCCCGGCCAUGGGACAAGGCAGUAUUUACACAAAGCACAGGAGACACACUAGAGCAGGAAAUACAAGGAAAUGCUCCUGUCUAGCCUUGGCUCUGCAGUGCCUGGUCAAGUAGUGAACCUGGAGCAUCACCAAAGGCAGUGAAACAGAACUGGAGGAACUGAUAGAGCCUUUCUCAGCUGGGGUGUGAGGUGUGGCACGGAUAAAACGGGGCUUGGGAGACACUGUGACAGUGCUUGGGAUUGAAGGCAGAGAUAAGUGCACAUUCCUUCGGGAUGCCCGAGCUCUGGAAUGUAUUAGACCUGUAAAUAUUGGUAUCUGCAGUUAAAAAUGUGAAAGCAAAGCGGGUUUUAUCCUUC